ensembl:lncRNA
CAGGGGGAUCUUCUGGGGUCUUCCCUUAGAGCCAGUCCCUGUCGCCAGGUAGAACUCCUGCCCCUAGGGAGGGUGGCAGAAAUCAGAGAAGAAAGGGAUGAGGGCUUGGUCCAGGCUGGGGGCACCAGGAAUUGGGAAGAAGGCGGGAGCCUAUUUUGGAGGGUCUGGGUUGGGAGGAGGGGAGUGGGGAAGGCCUUCCGAACACCUUAAGUAAUCUUCAUAGUUGACUGAAAGAUUAAAAACAGGGGAAGAACUGGUUUUGGCAUAUUGAACUUCUAGGGACUCAGCCAGAAACUUGUUCUGACCAGCUGUUGGUUGGUCCUGGCCUUGGCCCUGGGUCUGGAGGGCUGGCAGUGGCUUUAGGCCUGGGAUCACUGUUCCCUAAACUUCUCUGGGACCCUCCAGUGUGAUGGUCUUGCAGGCUGCUGACAAGGGGAGUUCAGCUGGUGGGUUGAGCAGGGCGGCAUCCAGGUGGAAGGCUUUUAAACCAGGUGGUAGAUGAGUGUCGAGGGGGUCACAAAUGGGAGAAGGUGGUUCUGGAACAGUGGAGAACGGGGGCAGGGAGCUGGGGCAGGAAUACUCUGUCCCCGAGCUGUGCCCAGGAUCCAGGGUGGGAAACACACAAGGAAAAGCUGCCCUUGCGCCUUUGGCCACAGCUUGAGGACCUGAUGCCACCACCCACUUAAGCAGGACACCGGAAGCAGCUGGGUCCCCACCUCCCAGGAGCUGUGCCAUCAACCCUCCCCAACCCCACAUUCACAUCAACCCUCGGACAGGGCCUUGGGGGGAACGGGCCAGGUGGGAGCUGCAAGGAGCGAGGCAGGCUGAGGGAGUUGCUUGUGGUGGGAGAGCCUGCAGGCAGGAGAAACAGAGGGCGUCGUGUCUUUGGCCCCGCACAGUGAGGGCAGAGGGUGGGGGCAGAAGGCGGUGUGACCUACUUUCGAAGCAGUGUGGCUGUGACUGGGGCUCUUCAAGUGGUCAGCCUGCACACACACGUUGGUCUUAAACUCUUCAAAACCAGGCUGUUAACCAGCUGUAUCCUGUUUUCAUUAGCGUGUAAGCCACGGUGAUGGGACCUGCCUAGUUUCCUGGGCCAGAGGGUUCUUUACCACCAGUGCCACCUGGGAAGCAGGUUUGAUCCCUGGAUCAAGAAGAUCUCCUGGAAUAGGAAAUGGAAACACACUUCAGUACUCUUGCCUGCAGAAUCCCAUGGACAGAGGAGCUUGGCGGGCUUCGGUCCAUGGGGUCACAAAGAGUCGGAUACAACUGAGUGACAGCAUAUAUGUGUGAUACGUGGGCCUGGAAAAAAUGAGCGUGGGGCUCUUUGUUCCAACUACUGGGAAUUUAAAGUCAGCAGCACAUCAGACCAACCCUGGCCUUUCUGAGAGCAGAGUCCCUGGGACUUCACAGGUU